GUCAAUUAAAACGCUUUUUAUUGAACCUGGUAAUAUUUUUGUCUACUUCCACAGUUGGGGGCUCUUUGUCUGGGAUCAGAAUACCACAGACACCAGCGGAACACCUGCAUCUGCCAACCAUUUCGUGGGCACUCAAACAGACCGGUCAUAUGAAAGGUAAACCAUACCAUUUAUAAAACAUGGCAUUAGUGUAAUUUUUGAGUGUCCAUGAAACAAAGAACGAUGCAGGUAAAUGCUAGUCUGUGUGACCUGAUUUCUUAGCCUUUUAUUGACCAUUUGUAACGUUACUAUUCAUGUUUAUGUUGUAAAAUAUACUGCAGUAUUAGUGUCUAUGUCUGAGUGAUUCUAGAAUCAGUGGUAGCACUGACAGGUAGUCCCCUAGGAAGACUUAAGUGACUAAACUUCGCAGACCCAAUAGGGGUUUGGUGGGCCUUCAGAAGUCUAAACGUAGCUCGGUUGGUGAGAGUCUCUUUGAUAUGAUGUAUCCCUGUCAUGUGAUUGUGGCUAAAUGUUGAGGUUAGCCACAUGAAUCUAAUCUCCCAAGUCUAAACGUAGCAAGGUGAAGUUAAGUUGUCUUGUAUUAAUUGGCUAGCCACAUGAAUCUAAUCUCCCAAAUCUAAAACGUAGGAAAGUGAGA